rnacentral:rRNA from 1 species
UACGUAGGGUGCAAGCGUUGUCCGGAAUUAUUGGGCGUAAAGAGCUCGUAGGCGGUUUGUCGCGUCUGCUGUGAAAAUCCAGGGCUUAACCCUGGACCUGCAGUGGGUACGGGCAGACUAGAGUGCGGUAGGGGAGAUCGGAAUUCCUGGUGUAGCGGUGAAAUGCGUAGAGAUGUGGAGGAACACCAGUGGCGAAGGCGACUCUCUGGACUGUAACUGACGCUGAGGCGCGAAAGCGUGGGGAGCAAACAGG